rnacentral:rRNA from 1 species
AGCUCCAAUAGCGUAUAUUAAAGUUGUUGCAGUUAAAAAGCUCGUAGUUGGAUUUGGGACUGGAGUCGUUCGGUCGGCCGCAAGGUCUGUUACUGAACGGCUCUGUCAUCACAUUCCCAGAGACCUGCCGUGUACUUAACUGUGCGCGGUACGGGAUUUGGGACGUUUACUUUGAAAAAAUUAGAGUGUUCAAAGCAGGCGUUUGCCGUGAAUACAUUAGCAUGGAAUAAUAGAAUAGGACUUGGUUUCUAUUUUGUUGGUUUGUGAGAGCCGAGUAAUGAUUAAGAGGGACGGUUGGGGGCAUUUGUAUUCCAGCGUCAGAGGUGAAAUUCUUGGAUUGCUGGAAGACAAACCGCUGCGAAAGCGUCUGCCAAGGACGUUUUCAUUGAUCAAGAACGAA